CUUGGGUUUUGGGGUCUCUCGUUGGGUUUUGGGUCUCUCGUUGGGUUUUGGGGUCUCUUGAUGGUCUUUAGUAUUUUUUCAUUGGGUUUUUGGGUCUCUCGUUGGGUUUUGGGGUCCCUCAUUGGGUUUUAGUGUUUUUUUCCUUGGGUUUUGGGGUCUCUCGUUGGGUUUUGGGGUCUCUCGUUGGGUUUUGGGGUCUCUCGUUGGGUUUUGGGGUCUCUCGUUGGGUUUUUAUUGGGAUUUGGGGUCUUCCAUUGGGUUCUCGGUGUUUAUUAUUGGGUUGUGGAGUCUUUUAUGGGAAUUUUUUUAUUGGGUUUCGGGUUUUAUUGGGUUUGUGAGUCUUUUAUAGGGGUUUGGGGUUCUCUGUUGUGUUUUGGGGUCUUUUAUUGGGUUUUAUUUUUUGGGGUUUGGGCUCUUUUAUUGGGGUUUGGGGCCCUUUUUGUUACGUUUUGAUUUUUCUUUCCUGAAUUUUGGGAUUUUUUAUUGGGUUUGGGGAUUUUUUAUUGGGUUUGGGGAUUUUUUAUUGGGUUUUGGGAUUUUUUAUGGGUUUUGGGCUUUUUUAUGGAUUUUGGGCUUUUUUACCUCAUUUCCCCCCUCUCCCCACAGCUCCCUCGGCCGGGCCGGCCGCUGACCCCGAUCCCGGAUCCCCCCCGACCCACAGAGAGGGGAUUUGGGGGGGGGGGCCCGGGGGGGUCUGGCCCCCCCCACGGCCCCCCCGUGGGUGCUCGCCCCCCCCUGUGGGUGCCCGUCCCCACCCCCCAGCACCCAUGGGUGCCUGGCCCUGCCCCAUAAAUUUUGGGGGUGCCUUUCCGUGCCCUGUGGGUGCUCGUCCUCCCCCCCCAGCACCCAUGGGUGCCCCUCCCCACCCCAUGGGUGCCCUCCCCCACCCUGUGGGUGCCUUUCCCUGCCCCAUAGGUGCCUGUCCCCACUCCCCAGCACCCAUGGGUGCCUGUCCCCGCCCCAUAGGUGCCAAAACCCAACCCUGUGGGUGCCACCCCCGCCCCCCAGCACCCAUGGGUGCCCUCCCUCACCCUGUGGGUGCCCUCCCCAACCCUGUGGGUGCCCUCCCUCACCCUGUGGGUGCCUCCCCUCCCCCCCCCCCCCCCCCCGGGGGUGCCCCCCCCCCCCCCCCCUUUUGGUACCGUUUCAAUAAACCCGCGCUUUUUCUUUCGUUUCCCGCGCUUUUCUUUCGUUUCCCGCGCUUUCUGGGGGGCGCGCCGUGACGUCACCACUUGGGGGCGGGGCCGCGAUUCACCACGCCCCCUUUGCUCCCACCCACCAAUCCGCGUCGAGACCACGCCCCCUUCCCCUUUAAACCACGCCCACACCGCGCUGCCAAUCACUAAGCCCCGCCCCCAUGCGCCAAGCGAAUGAAUCACCCGCACUGCGCAUGCGCACUCCGCCCCAUUUCCUGACAUCUUCCUACUGCGCAUGCGCAACCGCCCUUCCCGCCCGGUCACCUUCCCGGGCUGCGCGGCGCAUGCGCACUGCGCCCCCUCCCCCUGCGCCGCGCAUGCGCAGUGCGCUCCCGCCGGCCGCUGAGGCGCCGUGAGGCGAGGAAGGGGCCGGGGGGGGCUCCGCCAUGCUCCGAAACGGCCCCGCCGCCGCCGGACGCCGCCUCCUGCCCGCCUGGCCCGGGGUCGCCUCCUCUUGGAGCCGGCCGGGGCCUCAGCGACGCCGGUACCGGGCUAGGCCGCAGGUGAGGGGAGGGGGGGGAUGGGGGGGGCAAAACUGAGGUGAUUUUAUGUAAAUUAGGGGGCGUGGUUAUGUAAAUUGGGUGUUUUGGGGCGUGGUUAUGUAAAUUGGGGGCGGUUUGGGUGGGCGGGGAUAUGUAAAUGAGGUGGUUUGGGGCGUGGUUAUGUAAAUUAGGCGAUGUGGGGCGUGGUUAUGUAAAUGAGGUCGUGCAGGGGGCGUGGUUAUGUAGAUUGAGUGGCUUGGGUGGGCGUGGUUAUGUAAAUGAGGUGGUGCAGUGGGGCGUGGUUAUGCAAAUGGGGUUGUUUGGGUGGGCGGGGUUAUGUAAAUGAGGUGCUGAGGUGUUCUAUGGGGUUGGGGCGGGGUUAUGCAAAUUAGAAGAGGUGGGCGUGGUUAUGGAAAUGAGGGGGCGGGGCCUGGUGGCCCCUAGGGGUGGAUCCGGCCCCUAUGGGGUCUCCUAUGGGGCAGCCCCCAGCCCCCUAUGGGGCUCCCCCCACCCGCUAUGGGGCGGUUCUGGCCCCUAUAGGGCAG
rnacentral:lncRNA from 1 species